GAUCAGCCAGAAGCCUCCAGAACAGAGGUACCAGCUCAGCUGGUGUCAGAACAAAGUGAAGUGUUGAGCUAUUUAAAGCUGAAUUAUUAGUGCCUCUACACCUAUGCUUUAAAGUAUUGUUUCCAUGAAGAUGACAGGGACAGGUGACUAUGCCCGUUACCCCUGAACACAUUUUUACCAGUGUUUCUCCAUGGAAGCCCACGGCUGGCCCCUGCAGCUAUGGCGACGCCUGACAAGUGACCAGGUCUGAUGGUGCUAUUCAUCAAACGCACCCUUGAAGUUUACAAGAGUCCCUUGUUCCAAUAUUGGAGGUUACCAGUGCAGGCAUUACACGCUGACACGAAGGAACUGUAAUAGCCCAGUAGAGAAGGCAUACUGGGUCCAGGCCAGUGUCUACUCUUCAGGGUCAGAUUCUCUGGACAGCAGCAUCAUGACCACCAGAAACAUUUGGGAUAACCACAUGGUUCUAGGACAUGGUGCUAACUACAUCUGAUUAUUGAGAGUCUGGUGAAAAAGGUCAUAGAGCUUCCAGGGAAAUGCUCAGAAGGCACCAAGGACUUCACCAGCUUAGACACGUGAGACCUCCAACACUCUGCACACAAGCUCCGGGCCUGUGCAGGUGGGCUGAGCUGUGAGGAGGAACUCGAGUGAGACUCACAGAACAGUGCAUGGUGCAUGGUGGCCAGUACUGGACCUUUGCUUGCUAAGUGACACCUUGUGCCCCAGGUUCAGUUCCUGGGAGAGGGUAUAGCAGCUCUUGCCUCCCAUCCUUCCCUGGCCCUCCAGCCUCCGCCUUUGACUUCCUCAAGCCCAAAGGGUUAACUACUAGAAGCAACCAUGAUGAUGAACAGCGCCCCCUUGGGAUCCAAUGUGACAGGGUUAGACCCGUGGUCCUUCCUCCCAAGGAACACCUGCUUAAAAUAUGCUGGAUAUAAUGAGAAUUGAUCUGGUUACACUGAAAAUUCAUCUCCAUUACUGAACUCAUUUAAAUAAGGAGACAACUCUACAAAUUUAUGUCAAUUAGCACAGACUGAGAAACCUGCUCGUGAUCUUACGUGAGUUCUACACGCACCUGCGCCAGACGCAGGCCCUUGAGAGUCUGGUUAUUCCCAGAGCUAUGAAGCAUGAACAGCCAGAGCCAAGCUCACCACGCUCUGGCAUAUGGCCCUCCAGCUGAGCUGUGAUGACUAGACAUGUGGGCAUACCCAAUACUAAAUACUACUAAGGUUAUUCUUUGUCUCACCCACGCCGUGUCCCAGACUGACUGUCCCUGUCACAGUGCACAAACAUGACAGGGCCAGGUGACACCUAACCCCAGAACUCAUUAUGACACAAGCACAUAACACAUGUCAUGGAAGCCCAUGGCAAAAUGCCUAUGUCACACACAACACUCUAACAGGAUACGGUCAUGCCCCCAUGUGACUGCGUGACAACCAUGUGACUUGACCUAACAAGCUAGGACCUAAGUCUACAUCGAUGGGAACAGUCCUUUGAAUCAUAAUUGGUUUUUUAUGAUAGGGUCUUACAGCUCAUUUUCAACAUUAAACCUUAAGGAGAAUGGGGGAAAGC